GAACGCACCUUGCGCUCUUUGGUAUUCCGAAGAGCAUGCCUGUUUGAGUGUCAUGAAAAUAUCAACCCUCUAAUGUUUUUGCAUUGAAGGCGUUGGUAGUGAGCGCUGCCGGUCUUUGGGUCGGCUCGCUUUAAAAUAAUUAGCUGGAUCCAUUCUGACCUGGUUCUACUCGGCGUAAUAAGUUAUUAUCGUCGAGGACGCCUAGCCUUCUAGGCAGGCGGCCACAGUAAGGGUGUUUGAACCGCUUCCAACACGUCUUGCUCUUGUAGCAAACACUUGAACCUCUGACCUCAAAUCAGGCAGGACUACCCGCUGAACUUAAG
rnacentral:misc_RNA from 1 species